GUAGGUGAACCUGCGGAAGGAUCAUUACCAAAUAAUACAAAUAUCCAAACCCAUGUGAACGAUGAAUAAAUUGUCUUGGUUUUUGGGGUGUGAUUUCGUAAGAGAUUUUCACCCCGACCAGUUUUAUCAAACUACUUAUUUUAUCAUGGCAUUAUAUAAUUAAUUUAAUUACUGUGACAACUUUUAACGGUGGAUCUCUUGGCUCGU
rnacentral:misc_RNA from 1 species